rnacentral:rRNA from 1 species
CGACCCCAGGUCAGGCGGGGCUACCCGCUGAGUUUAAGCAUAUCAAUAAGCGGAGGAGAAGAAACUUACAAGGAUUCCCCUAGUAAC